GACGAACGCUGGCGGCGUGCCUAACACAUGCAAGUCGAACGAUGAAGCUGGAGCUUGCUCCGGUGGAUUAGUGGCGAACGGGUGAGUAACACGUGAGAAAUCUGCCCUUCACUCUGGGAUAACUGCGGGAAACUGUAGCUAAUACCGGAUACUUUCCCUGGUGGGCAUCCACUAGGGAAGAAAGAAUUUCGGUGAAGGAUGAUCUCGCGGCCUAUCAGCUAGUUGGUGAGGUAAUGGCUCACCAAGGCGACGACGGGUAGCCGGCCUGAGAGGGUGACCGGCCACACUGGGAUUGAGACACGGCCCAGACUCCUACAGGAGGCAGCAGUGGGGAAUAUUGCACAAUGGGCGAAAGCCUGAUGCAGCAACGCCGCGUGAGGGAUGAAGGCCUUCGGGUUGUAAACCUCUUUUAGCAGGGAAGAAGCGAAAGUGACGGUACCUGCAGAAAAAGCACCGGCUAACUACGUGCCAGCCGCCGCAGUAA
rnacentral:rRNA from 1 species